CAGAUAGAAGCCAAAUGGUUCGGCACUUUCUUUGGGUGAAAGAUUUAGUAAGUUCGAGUCUUGCCUAUCUGA
rnacentral:tRNA from 1 species